rnacentral:rRNA from 1 species
AAGGAUCAUUAACGAGUUUUGAAACGGGUUGUUGCUGGCCUUCCGAGGCAUGUGCACGCCCUGCUCAUCCACUCUACACCUGUGCACUUACUGUAGGUUGGCGUGGGUUUCUGGCCUCCGGGUUGGAAGCAUUCUGCCGGCCUAUGUACACUACAAACUCUUAAAGUAUCAGAAUGUAAACGCGUCUAACGCAUCUUAAUACAACUUUCAGCAACGGAUCUCUUGGCUCUCGCAUCGAUGAAGAACGCAGCGAAAUGCGAUAAGUAAUGUGAAUUGCAGAAUUCAGUGAAUCAUCGAAUCUUUGAACGCACCUUGCGCUCCUUGGUAUUCCGAGGAGCAUGCCUGUUUGAGUGUCAUGAAAUUCUCAACCCAUAAAUCCUUGUGAUCUAUGGGCUUGGAUUUGGAGGCUUGCUGGCCCUAGCGGUCGGCUCCUCUUGAAUGCAUUAGCUUGAUUCCGUGCGGAUCGGCUCUCAGUGUGAUAAUUGUCUACGCUGUGACCGUGAAGCGUUUUGGCAAGCUUCUAACCGUCCAUUAGGACAAUUUUAUAACAUCUGACCUCAAAUCAGGUAGGACUACCCGCUGAACUUAA